GUCGAGCGAUCGAUGGGAGCUUGCUCCCUGAGAUUAGCGGCGGACGGGUGAGUAACACGUGGGCAACCUGCCUAUAAGACUGGGAUAACUUCGGGAAACCGGAGCUAAUACCGGAUACGUUCUUCUCUCGCAUGAGAGAAGAUGGAAAGACGGUUUACGCUGUCACUUAUAGAUGGGCCCGCGGCGCAUUAGCUAGUUGGUGAGGUAAUGGCUCACCAAGGCGACGAUGCGUAGCCGACCUGAGAGGGUGAUCGGCCACACAGGGACUGAGACACGGCCCAGACUCCUACGGGAGGCAGCAGUAGGGAAUCUUCCGCAAUGGACGAAAGUCUGACGGAGCAACGCCGCGUGAACGAAGAAGGCCUUCGGGUCGUAAAGUUCUGUUGUUAGGGAAGAACAAGUACCAGAGUAACUGCUGGUACCUUGACGGUACCUAACCAGAAAGCCACGGCUAACUACGUGCCAGCAGCCGCGGUAAUACGUAGGUGGCAAGCGUUGUCCGGAAUUAUUGGGCGUAAAGCGCGCGCAGGUGGUUCCUUAAGUCUGAUGUGAAAGCCCACGGCUCAACCGUGGAGGGUCAUUGGAAACUGGGGAACUUGAGUGCAGAAGAGGAAAGUGGAAUUCCAAGU
rnacentral:rRNA from 1 species